ACAACCGUGGCCGAUCGUGCCAACGCCGACUCAGCGGCCGAACACCACAAAUCUAAGCUAAACAGGAUACAAAUCAUGAGGGGGAGAAGGGUUUAAGGGUUUACCUUGCUUCGAGGAGGAGCCGAGCAGCUCUUUCGGUAGCUUGAUCGCUUCCCCCGGUGCCUCAGCCUCCUACUCCGACGGCGUCGCUCCCGAUCCGAUUCCUUGCACAGAAGGAGAAGGGAAUGAGAAGGAGUGAGAGAAGAAUUCUUGGGUUCUUAUAGGCUCGGCGGGGAGGGAGAAGUGGUGGUGAUCGUGGCUGUCAGGCGGUUAUAACCGCCUCAACAGUUGCCGAUCUCCACCGCUAUUCCUCCCAAGUCUCCAGAUGGGCCGGGAUUUACAUUCUUCCCCCCUUAAAAGAAAUUUCGUCCUCGAAAUUUUACAUACCUUAAUUCUUAAACAAUUGAAGAUAUUUAGUCUUUUAUCUAAUAUUCUACUAGACUUCUGCUGCGCAACUCUGAUUGAGCCCAACAUGUCUAAGGCUCAGUCUCAAUUUGUAUUGACUCUAACUUUCUCAUUUAAGUGAAAAGAU